rnacentral:rRNA from 1 species
GAUGAACGCUGGCGGCGUGCUUAACACAUGCAAGUCGAACGAAGCACCUUAUUCUGAUUUCUUCGGAAUGAAAAAUUUGGUGACUGAGUGGCGGACGGGUGAGUAACGCGUGGGUAACCUGCCUCAUACAGGGGGAUAACAGUUAGAAAUGACUGCUAAUACCGCAUAAGACCACAGCACCGCAUGGUGCAGGGGUAAAAACUCCGGUGGUAUGAGAUGGACCCGCGUCUGAUUAGGUAGUUGGUGGGGUAACGGCCUACCAAGCCGACGAUCAGUAGCCGACCUGAGAGGGUGACCGGCCACAUUGGGACGGAGACACGGCACAAACUCCUACGGGAGGCAGCAGUGGGGAAUAUUGCACAAUGGGGGAAACCUUGAUGCAGCGACGCCGCGUGAGCGAUGAAGUAUUUCGGUAUGUAAAGCUCUAUCAGCAGGGAAGAAAAUGACGGUACCUGACUAAGAAGCACCGGCUAAAUACGUGCCAGCCGCCGCGGUAA